UACGAAGGGGGCUAGCGUUGCUCGGAAUUACUGGGCGUAAAGGGAGCGUAGGCGGGUCGUCAAGUUGGGGGUGAAAGCCCAGGGCUCAACCUUGGAACUGCCUUCAAAACUGACGAUCUAGAGUAUGGAAGAGGUAAGUGGAACUCCGAGUGUAGAGGUGAAAUUCGUAGAUAUUCGGAAGAACACCAGUGGCGAAGGCGACUUACUGGACACAUAUUGACGCUGAGGUGCGAAAGCGUGGGGAGCAAACAGG
rnacentral:rRNA from 1 species